rnacentral:lncRNA from 1 species
UUUUUUUUUUUUUUUUUUUUUUAACCCCUUAAAGCAAAAUAUGCUGACAGUGCCCUCUGCUGCUGAGCAAUGAUUCUGUUUUUCUACAUGGUGGAAAAACAAGCAAGACAAUGUUAGGGAAAAGAGUGGGUAAAAAUUGUGCUUUCGACAUGCUGGGACAGAGGACCAGAAAGAGCCACGGAAACAUCCCAGUGCAGCGGAGGCUCAGAAACCAGAAGGGCCAGACACGGUGGCUGCCGGAAAGGCGAGACCCUCCUUUUCAGACUGAUGAUUGACAGCCUGUUUGGAAUUGGAGCACCCUCUUGAUUUUACAUAACAAACUUCUCUUUUCCUGUGCCCCUGCCCCAGGAGCAAGUGUGUUAUUUUUGGCCCAGAGAUAAAUUUUCGCUCUGAUUGUAUGAAAAUUAACUUCGAAGAUUCCACGAUGCUUCAUGGGAGAAUGCAUUAGAGAAAAUGUUGUGAGAGCUAGAAAACACUGCUAGAGAAAUCACAGUCCUGCUCAUUUUCUUUUCAGGUGUUCUAAUACAGUGAAAAUAAGCAACUGCCUUUUACGGAUUGCCUGCUAUGUGCUGGGCAUUUUCCUUCUAUUAUAUUAUUUCAAAUCUCAUGACAGUUGAUCAGGUAGGUUUUUUGUUUGUUUGUUUUGUUUCAUUUUUUUAAAGUCCUUACCCGUGGCAUAUGGAAGUUCCCAGGUGUAGCCCUUAAAAAAAAAGAAAAAAAAAAUGAAGGAAAGUGGAAGAUUCUCCAGGAAUCUUGACUCUGUGUAGCUCAGGGAGGUCCAAUAAUGCCUUCCUGCCUGCUUGUCACUUCAAGAAGCUAAAGGUAGAAUAAAUUGCAAAUUAAUACCACUCCAAACACAAUCGUGCUAAAAAAAAAAUAUUGCUACACUUUUUGGAUAUUGAGAUUAAAAAAAAAAAACUAAACAGUGUUUAUUUAAUUACCAAUAAGAACUCCAAUAAGCAUAAUUCUGAUUCAUUUUAUCUUGUGAGGAAAACAUGUCCUGAAACUCUUAACUUCAAGUACAAUAAAACUACUAUUCAGUAAACAUUGCUAAACACUGGAAUAUUACAAGAGCUCAGAAUGUUAUUCUGGUGACCAGAAGUCUUGAAGUUGGCUUCUAAGCCUCGGGACUCUAUAAUUUAUUCUCAAUCUAAGCAGUAUGAUUGCUAAAGACCUUCAAAGUCAUUUGUGAAGUUCACAAACCAAAAACAAGUACAAAGAACAAACACAGUAAGUGUGAUCGGAUGUUUUAUUGCAUGAUGUCUUAUUUGAUGCUUUGAUUGUAAAUGAGGCAAGUGGGCCCCAUUAAUUCCUGAUGGAGAUGAUUUGCUUCCAAGAAGUCCCUAAGCUUCUGAAACUCUGUACCCUGUUUGACAUUGAAUGAGAUGUCUUCACUAUGCCAGAUGCCACAGCUUUCUGUGGCAUCACCAUAAGCUUGACUGAUCUUACCAGAUGUUUUAGGCUUUGCAGACAACACACCUGCAUAUCCUUGAAGGGCUGGAAUAUCUUCAUUAUUCCCAUUUCUGAGAUGAAAAUGUAAGAAUUUGAGUGAGUGGGUUGGCUCCAAGGCAUGUGAGAUAAAAGCUUUCUUGGACCCCAAAGCAGAGGGAAAUGUAGCUGGACAGCUCAUCAGUGUUUUACCCUGAGUGAAGGGGUUCCCUUCAGCUUUUUCUGACACCUCCUGGGGCUCUGCUUUUCAGCAAGAAGACUGGUCCUUCAAGGCUUCACCCCUACCCUCUUACAUAAACCUCCUCACAAGGGAAUAAAGUAAAACCCGUUUUAAAAUAGUAUUUAUUUGGAUUUUCACAGCAUUCAUUAAUGUGCUUUCCUGGGGCAAUUUGCAGUAAAGAUCCCAUCCCAACCCACCUCCAAAACACUAACUUUAAAAUAAACUCUCCAACUUUUCUGGAGUGUCCAUUGUGGCUCAGUGGGUUAAGAACUGACUACCAUCCAUGGGGAUGCAGGUUCAAUCCCUGACCUCACCCAGUGGGUGAAGGAUCCAGUAUUGCCACAAGUUGCAGCAUAGGUCACAGAUUCUGCUUGGAUCUGGUGUUGCUGGGGCUGUGGUGUAGGCCGGCAGCUGUAGCUCCAAUUCAACCCUUAGGCUGGGAACUUCCAUAUGCCACAGGUGCAGCCCCAAAAAGGUAAAAAUAAAAUAAAAAUAAAUAAAAUAAAAUAAGCUCUCCAAUUUUUCUGAAAGCUUAGUAUUUCGGAAACCAAGAAGCCACUGAUUUCAAAUUUGACAGUUUUUUUUUCAGUGGAGGACAUCGUGGCACAUUUCUGCUUAUUGGUGACAGACAGGCACUCAAGACCCAGCUUAGCUAACCUUCUCUGCAAAGCUCUCCGUCCCCAGUCACUCCCUCCUCUGAACUCACAUGGCCUUUUCUGUCCCUGCCUCUCUCAUAACCCUUCUGUCCCUUUAUUUACCUAUUUCAUAUUUUUCAUUGGUCUACAUAUGUUUUUUCUUUUCCACUUCCUUUGAAUUUCGUAAAGGAAGGGAAUGAAAUUGUUCUCAGUUUUGAAUACUUCCCUAAACCUACUACCAAAUAACCACUCACAAACUGAGGGAUGAGUUCACGGAUAACCAGAGCUUUCCUCUACCUCCUUCCCAGGGCCCGUGCCUUUUCUCUGUUUACACCAUGAAGAUGGCACUGGUGUGUCUCUCAAGAUAAUUAUGUACUUCCCUAUGAUUGCCAAGUGCUUUGAGACCAUAAAAAAAUCUUUAUAAAUGCCAGCCAUGAUUACAACCCUUUGAAACAAUGGGAUAUAUGAUUUACAAGUGGAAAAAGAUGAGACAUAACAGGUAAUCCUUCUUGUCUGGUCCCCAUUUUUAUCCCCACCCACCGUCAAGAUAGUAAUUCAGAGGUAAGAGCGUCAGCUUGGGAAGAGAGAGGAGGAUUAAACCAGGGUCUAGGUAGGAUUUCCAGGGCCCAUGCUGUCACACUGCUGUCAAGAGGAAGGGUGCCUAAAUCUGAGAAGAGGGGCCAAGGGCCGGAAUUCCCAGAGAGAUGGGUGACACCCAGCUCACCGCUGAAAGGGGAACACAGACUCGGAUGAAGAAGAUGGUUGGUCGGCCCUUUUAGAGGAAAAGGUGGCUCAGGAGAAGGCCUGAGAAGGUGGCAGUGUUGUCAAACUCUGCUCAGUCCUCAACCUCUGAUGACCUAACGAGGAAAGAAAGGGUGAGGUUUGUUUUCGUGACAGUUUACAGAAUGGGAGAAAAUAGUUUCAAAUGAUGCAACUGACAAGGGCUUAAUCUUCAGAAUAUACCAGCAAUUUAUACAACUCAACAGCAAAAAAGGCAACAAUCCAAUUGAAAAAUGGGCAAAAAACCUGAACAGACAUUUCUCCAAGGAAGAUAUACAGAUGGCCAACAAGCACAUGAAACAAUGCUCAGCAUUGCUGAUUAUUAGAGAAAUGCAAAUCAAAACUACCAUGAGAUACCACCUCACACCAGUCAGAAUGGCCAUCAGUAAUAAGUCCACAAAUAACAAGUGCUGGAGGGGGUAUGGAGAAAAGGGAAUGAAAGCUGGUACAGCCACUAUGGAGAACAGUGUGGAGGUACCUUAGAAAUCUACACGUAGAACUACCAUAUGACCCAGCAAUCCCACUCUUGGGCAUAUAUCCAGACAAAACUUUCCUUGAAAAAGAUACAUGCACCUGCAUGUUCAUGGCAGCUCUAUUCACAAUAGCCAAGACAUGGAAACAACCCAAAUGUCCAUCGACAGAUGAUUGGAUUAGGAAGAGGUGGUAUAUAUACACAAUGGAAUACUACUCAGCCAUUAAAAAAAUGCCAUUUGCAGCAACAUGGUUGGAACUAGAGACUCUCACGUUAAGUGAAGUAAGUCAGAAAGAGAAAGACAAAUAACAUAUGAUGUCACUCAUACCUGGAAUCUAAUAUACAGCACAAAUGAACUUUCCACAGAAAAGAAAAUCAUGGACCUGGAGAAUAGACUUGUGGUUCCCGGGGCGGGGGGGGAGUGAGAGGUAUCGGGAGUUUGGGGUUAACGGAGGCAAACUAUUGCUUUUGGAAUGGACUAACAAUGUGAUCCUGCUGUUUAGCACUGAGAACUAUGUCGAGAUAUUACAACACAGGGGGACAAUGGGAGAAAAAAUUAUGUAUGCAUGUAUGCCUAACUGGGUCCCCAUGCCCUACAGUGGGGGAAAAAAAGAGAGAGAGAGAGAGAAAAUGUAAUAAAAAAAAAAAAGAAAAAAAAAAGAAAAGAA